AUUUUAUAACCUGCAAACUAGGUAUAUUUUAAAUCUUUCAUUAUUUCCAAAAUAGUUAAUUACUUUUCGUAUUAAAUAGAGUAGUUUACAGGCAGAAUUAAUACAUUAAUUUACACGUUGCUAGCAUUUUCAAGGUAUUUGUAUAACUUAUUUGUUUCCAAAAGGUUUUUCUUUUAUUUCCCAACAACACGUUCCUUUGGAAUUGCAGAAAAGCUGGGUAGCAUUGUAACUAAGAGUUGCACCGAUAAAUAACAAAUGUUUAAUAUUGUUUCGGGAUUCUUGGAGCCAUUGAAGUAAAAGGAGAUAAUAUCGAGAUCAGAGAGAAACGUGUUUGCGUUUUGAAUUUUUGUUUGGCAAGUUACUAUUUUGAGCAUUUAUAACAAAAACUUCAUUUGCUUGUCACAACUAGGAAUCGUAUUUUUAAUUUCACUUGUGUCAUUAAUUUAAAACAAAAUUAUACAGCUUUAGAAAAUAGUGGUAGUAAAAAUUGCAUAUAUUUGUUGUUAGAACCAACAAUAACUAUAAACGUAACUGCAACUCUAUAUUUUCAUUAUUAUCAGGAAAUAUAAUUGACGUACUCUAAAUUUUUUCAACUCAAAUUCGAGAUUAAAAAUUUUACAACCUCUAACUCGUUUUUUUGAAGUUUAUCAGUUUCUUCUAAUCUAGUUUCAUCACCUUUGAAGAUGGUUAUUACUUAUUUACUUUCUUCUAUUGGAAUUCCAGUGUAAACAUAAUUUCCAACAAAAUACUUUGUUAUCAAAAUUAUAGUUUUCCUAUAUUGGCAAUAUCGAAGGUACAUAGAAACGAAAAAAUUAUAGAUACUUAAUGUUAACUAUGGUUUAUUUUCUAUUUUUUCAGGUAUAGGUAGAUGGGAUAUUGAAAUACAGGAUGAUUAUUAUAAUUUUUAUUUUGUUUUUGAUAUCUGAACUAUAUCCACAAACAAAACAUUUUCCUUCACACUUUAGUAGGCUUAGGACUGUCAACAGUGAGAUGUUGGCAUGUUUAAAAAAUGUUUCUGUUUGAACAUGGUACAUACAAUGGUACAUAAAAAACUGAUUUUAUAACCAUGGUUAAUCAAUGGUUACCUUUGUCUUUCUUGCAGCUUUCCCUAUAUUUAACAUAUGAUAUAUCAUCACAUAUAGUCUUUAUAUUGUUGAUCUUUGCCCUUCAAAAUUUUAUUAAUAAUACCAAUGUAAUGAAAGAUGCAUAUGUUAAAACUAAUAUUUACAAACGUAUUUACAUAAUCCUUAUGAUCUGAUCAAAAUAUUGAGGAAAUGUCUGUCAAAUCUCCCAAACAAAAUAUUUGUUUCUUUAUGCCUAGCGAAUUGAUUAACUGGGGCAAUCUUUUGAAAAUUUUAUCAGGAAAACUUUUAAAAAUAUCACAGAAUUUUGCUGAAGGCGCACAUAAAAUAUUAGAUUUGAUUAGAAUUUACUUUCUAAAAGUUAUGAAUAAGUGUAUUUGAAUGAAUAAUUAUAACUUUAGAAAUAUUGUUUCGUUUCCAUAUUUUCACUUAUUGCUUUUUUUUGUACCAACCAGAUGUAGGUAAUGACUACGAUUUGUUUGCUGAAUCCCAAUUUAAAGGUUUGAUAUACAUAUUAAAACCAUUGUCUAAGAUUCCCAAAUCUGUUUUAUGAAUGUAUUAUUUUAGGUUUUUAUGGAAAAAUGAUGGGUUGUAAAUUAAUGACGAGCUUACUUACAAAUCGUUCCCAUUUGGUACAUAUUCCUUCAGGAUGACUAAUUGGUACAAUCCCAGUUAUUAUAUGAAAUUACAACUACACUAUCUAUGAAGAUCACAUAAUAUAUUGAGGUUUUUAUGGAGAAAUGAUGGGAUGUGAAUUAAUGAUGAGUAUACUCACAAAUCAUUCCCAUUUGGUACAUAUUCCUUCAGGAUGAAUAAUUGAAACAAUCCCAGUUACUUCUCUGGAAUUACAACUAUACCAUCAAUGAUGAUCACAAAUUAUAUUUAGGAUUUCAGUUACAGAAGAUUGCGAAAAAUGGGAUACACUCAGCCAUAUACUACGUGAAUAAGGAUUCAUAGGAGUCAAGUCUUCAUUAGGAUAUGAAUUAGAAUGAUCGUCUGAAAUGAAUUUGUUAGUUUUAUACUAUUUUUAAUAUCUAUUUGGAAUAAACUACAAUUUCAAUAACAAAAAUUAAUCUAUUAAUACAAUAAUUCAAAUUGCAAUGUUAAUUUCACAUUUUUUUUUUCUGUUUACUUGUUCAUAUUGGCAUAAUUUUUUUUAUUUUAAUUUACUUUUUGACUCAGUGCUUUUUAUAUUCCUUUAUCGGAUUUUUUUAUUUUAAUCUGUUGAUGAUUUUCUAAAAUAAAGUAAUAAAUUAUUCCUUAAUAAUAUUAAAAAUACUAUCUAUAUAAUAUAGUGUGUUUCAAUAAAUUUUGACAAACCGAUUUCACCAUGUUAGGGUGUGUUUAUUACAUAAAAUAAAUAAAAACGUUUAUAUCAUAAUUAUUGAAAUUACAUAGAUAAAAUUAUUGAAAAUUUAUGUUAUUAUAAGAGUUUAUGGCUUCUUUUGAUUGAACAAUUAAUUUGAGCUUGUUUCUAUAAUUUUUUGUUAGAUUUCAUGUAAAUUAAGUUAGAGUUAUGUUAGCAUUAAUUCCAGGGGACCUGAUUUAUACUGAAAAUCAAGGUAGUGGCAGAAGUAUGGGAAUUUGUUGUGGAGCAGUUGCAACAAAGUGGAUCUAAUGUGGGCAAAAAGGAGCUUUUAAUACAUAUAAGAGCUGGAACUGUAGAUAAAAUAGAGCUUUAACUCAUGAAAAAGCCAAAAAACUGGAUUAAAAGGACUUUUAACUCAUAACACAGCUGAAACUGUGGGUAAAAAGGAGCUUCAACUAAUAAAACAGCUGAAACUGUUGAUAAAAAGGAACUUUAACGCAUCAAAACGGGAAACUGGAUGAAAAGGACUUUUUAACUUAUGAAAAAGCUGAAAUUGGAUGAAAAGGACAUUUCAAUUCAUAAAACAGCUGAAACUUGAUAAUGAGUACUCUAAUUCAUUUAUUUUAUACAAUUUUAAACAUUAUUGAAUCUCUUUACCAAAUACAUAAUUGUACAGUUUUAUUAUUUUGACUUUAUCUUUUUCAUCAAUAUUUCCAAGUAUUUUAUUCUGUAUCUGUUAUUGUUAACUUUUAUUGGUUCUUAUAUUUUGUGUUCCAUUAUUUUUAUUUCCGCCUAUACCUAAAACAAUUGAAUGUGCGUGCAUUCAUUGAAGCUCAAAUUUGAAAUACUGGUUUUGUCUUUUAUAAAAUAAAUAAUUUUUUUUAAUUAGAACAAUUAAAAUUUUGAAAUAUUCGAUUUUUGUCUGUGAAUGGUACCCAUAUUUUGUAUGUGAUUGUAUAUUUUAUCAAUAAUAGCAUAAAAAAUGUCUGAUCUGGAUUUAUAGUUGAAUAAAAUUUUUAAAAUACUAUUUUUUAUAGUAUUAACCAUGAAAAACUUCCUAUAUGAUACAAAACACAUCGGUCAUUAAGUUUCUAAUCUAAUAAACAAAAAACAGCUUUUUGGGAACGAUUUUUUUUUUCUCAUAUUUAGUUUCCAUAAAGACAUCUUAUGGAUAUUUUUCCCUUUUUUCAGGUACAAAAACCUAGAAAUCAGAUUUGGGGAAAAUAAUUUCGAUUUUUGAUUAUUUGAAUUAUAUAAUCGUUUUUCUUAUUAUCUUUGUGGAACUGAAUUUUCCUUGUUCUGUGGAUGGAGCUGUAACUUUGUGAUUUCCUUGUUCAAUUACUCCAAUAAUUUUCAGUAAUAGUCACUAAUGAAAGAAGUUUUUCCAUAUUCAUCAUGAUUUUCAGGAAUUUUUUCAUGUUAUUUGGUAUAACUUCAUAUUUUGGUUGUACUGAUCGUUGAACAUCAUUGGUGCUUCUAUAAUCACAUUCAAAAUCUCGCAUUAUCAAUGAUUUUCCUGGAGAAAAGUCACCUUUGCAAGUCAAACCUCCACCUUCACUUCCAGAAAUGUUUUUUUUUCAUUAUUCCAAAAAGUUUUUUCAUUUAGAACAUUAUGACUAAUGAACCCCAUUGGAGAGUAUGAUCAUAAAAUUUGAUAAUUGUCAUUUAAAAGUUGGUUCUUCUAAGAAAAAAAAUUUGGAUUUUAUUUGGAUUCGAAUCAUUGUAAUUUCAUAUCACUGUAUUUUGUCAAAAUUUUUAAGUAGCACAAUUUUUUGAUCAGUAGUUAAUGCUUCAAAAAAUGUACAAACCUCAAAUUUUCUUCACCUUUUGUAUAACUGGUGGGCAGUAGAAUGAUGAAAACUCUCCUUUUUUGAGCUCACACCAAACUAUCAAUUUUUACUAAAGUAGAUUUUUUAUAAUACUAAAAUAAUUUUCACAUUAGGUUUGAAUAUUUGAAAUAUCUACGAUUUUGUUCAUAUUCAAUCAGUUUUUCUCUAUUUCCAAACAAUUCAUGAAUAUUCGACGCUUUUUUUAAGUAAUUCAAUAUAAAUGUAAAAUAGUAGAUAAAAAAUUGAUUUCUCAUUUGAGUUUUUUCAUAAUUUGAGUUAUGACACAAACCCAAGUCUAGGAUCAAUGUAGUCAGUUACCAAACUAUUUUAAAGCAUUUGAAGAUCCUAAUUGUUUAAAAUAAUAAAUAAUUUUGUACAUUUCAAACAUUUACUUAAUGUAAUCUUCGGGCUCCAAUUCUUUUUAUUUUUAUAAUCGUUAGAGAUUGGUGAAAGUUGUUCACUACUAGGAAGAGUAAUAUUUUAAAUUGAGAGUUUGCAUCAGUUCUCUCCAACUAAUUCUCUAUAUUUUGUUAUUAAAUCAAGAUUUAAUAAUUUUUAGAUGUAAAUUUUGAAGUUUUUUAUUAGAUUCUUUUUAUAUUCUCUAAAAAUUUUCACUUGUGAUCAAAUAACACGUGAUGGUAAUAAUUUAUAUGAACACAUCUUUAUUUGAUUGUACAUUUUAUUACACUACAUAUAUUUCUACUUUCACAUGUGGAACACUUUACCAACUCAAUGGGUUUUGUUGUAUGUAGGUUCAUCCAUUUUUUUCUUAUUUUUUGGGUUCUCCACCAUGUAGACAUACCAUCUAUUACCAAUAUCAUAUUACACAAUCGUUUGUUAGUAUGCAGAAUUUCAUGGUCAUUCUCUUUUCUUUAUGAAAUUCUUUCUCUUGUCUACCCAUUUUGCUUUAUCUUAUUGCUCAUUUCAUUUUCUCUACAAAAGCAAAGGGUAUUGUUAACCUUUAUAUUUCAACUGCAAACAAAUUUUACUUUCCUAAAACUUUACUGUUACGUUUUCCAAAAACUGUUUUCCAUUCUAAAUUUUCAAUUUAAAUCUUAUAAAAAGAAAACACAUCUUCGCAGACUAUGUUCAUGGGCAUAUAUCCCUGGAAAACAUAAUGGUAUAAAUUCAGGAAUGUAAUAAUUUACUCAAAAAAAAAAUAAAAAAAAUAUCAAUCCCUUUGUUUUGUGGAGAAUAUAAAAUAAAUAAUAAGAUGAAAGAAAAUGGAAGACAAGAGGAAGAAUAUCAUAAAGAAAAGAUAAGAAAAUGAUCAUGAAAUUCUGCAUAUGAAUAAACUUAUCAUGUAAUAUGACUUUAAUGAAUUGUUAGUAAAUGAAUCCUAAUGGUAAAAUAUCCAAUCACACAAAAUAAGAAGAAAAUGACUGAAUCUAUAUUACUGAAUAACAAAACCAAUUGUUUAAAAGCAGAAGUAUAUUUAGUAUGAUAAAAACAAUUAAAAAUCUUGAAAGAGAUAUGUUCAUCUAAAGUAUAUCAUUAUGCUUUAUGUCCAAACAUCACAUAUUUUGAACAUUUGAUUAAUUUUUGAAAUAAAGAGUUAACUGGUACUUUAGAGUAAAUAAAUCUUGAUUUACUAUCAUCAAAAUAGGGAAAAAUUGGUGGAAAUAAAUAAUAUGAUUGUAUGUAUGUAAAUAUAUACCUUUAUUAGAAUUAAAAUGUUUGACAAAACAUUUUUAUAUUUACACGGUGUAUAAAAAAAUAUUGUAUUGUUUAUAAAAACGUCCAUCAACUUCUUUUCUACAAUCUGAUUAUGAAAAUUUUUGUAAUUCACUUUAUGGACGUUUUUUUAAGAGAAUCAUUAUAUAUGUACUACUCUCUAUGAAUAUAACUUUUUUCAAACUACUCUUACAACUUGAAAUUGAUGGUGUUUCAUUACCUGUAUAGUAAACUUGAAAUUUGCAAUAAAAACUUUGUAGCUAGAUAUUAGGUUAUACAAGUACUAGAAUGAGUCACUCGAUUACAAGUUAUUUAAUAAAAAUACUGUAUUUUUA